rnacentral:rRNA from 1 species
GAUGAACGCUGGCGGCGUGCUUAACACAUGCAAGUCGAACGAAGCGAGAACUAAAGCGCAAGCAGAGGUUCUUGACUGAGUGGCGGACGGGUGAGUAACGCGUGGAUAACCUGCCUUUCACAGGGGGAUAACAGCUGGAAACGGCUGCUAAUACCGCAUGAGCCUCUUUUAUCGCAUGACGGGAGAGGGAAAGAGAAAUCGGUGAGAGAUGGAUCCGCGUCCGAUUAGCUAGUUGGAGGGGUAACAGCCCACCAAGGCGACGAUCGGUAGCCGACCUGAGAGGGUGGACGGCCACAUUGGGACUGAGACACGGCCCAA